rfam:Aspergillus aculeatus ATCC 16872 unplaced genomic scaffold ASPACscaffold_8, whole genome shotgun sequence.
GCCCCCGUGACGCAAUCGGUAGCGUGCAAGCCUUCUAAGCUUGAAGUUGCGAGUUCGAGCCUCGCCGGGGGCU